rnacentral:miRNA from 1 species
ACAAGGUACAUAUCUGGUUGUUUC